rnacentral:lncRNA from 1 species
GGCGACGACCGAACGCCCCCGGGAACACCGGGCCCCGAGCUCGGUCCCGCGCCCGAGGAUCCUCCACGGGGCUAGAUGGCUGCGUCGGGGGCGGGAGCGGAGGUGAGCGGGCGCUAGGGCCGCGAGCCCCCGCCGGCCCUUCCUCCAGCGCCCUGCGGACCCCGCAGAAGGCGCUCGCCUCCCUAGCCCGCAAAAACAUAUCGAUUUUUCUCGCUGUGGCAACGGGGACGUCCUGAUAGAUCCUCUGCUCCAAUAGGCAACUCCGGCCUUCCCUGCCCUGACCUGGAACCUCUGGGAGGGCUGCAGAGUAAGUGCCGCCUCUGCGCUCCGACGGAGGCACGAGGCCUGUGGAGUAGGUCCCUCUGUUCCGACAGGUGCGACACUUGGCGCUCCAUGCUUGCGGGUGCCGGGAGGCCUGGCCUCCCCCAGGGCCGCCACCUCUGCUGGUUGCUCUGUGCUUUCACCUUAAAGCUCUGCCAAGCAGAGGCUCCCGUGCAGGAAGAGAAGCUGUCAGGUGGCACCUCAAAUUUGCCAUGCUGGCUGGUGGAAGAGUUUGUGGUAGCAGAAGAGUGCUCUCCAUGCUCUAAUUUCCGGGCUAAAACUACCCCUGAGUGUGGUCCCACAGGAUAUGUAGAGAAAAUCACAUGCAGCUCAUCUAAGAGAAAUGAGUUCAAAAGCUGCCGCUCAGCUUUGAUGGAACAACGCUUAUUUUGGAAGUUCGAAGGGGCUGUCGUGUGUGUGGCCCUGAUCUUCGCUUGUCUUGUCAUCAUUCGUCAGCGACAAUUGGACAGAAAGGCUCUGGAAAAGGUCCGGAAGCAAAUCGAGUCCAUAUAGCUACAUUCCACCCUUGUAUCCUGGGUCUUAGAGACCCUAUCUCAGACAGUGAAAGUGAAAUGGACUGAUUUGCACUCUUGGUUCUUUGGAGCCUUGUGGUGGAAUCCCCUUUUCCCCAUCUUCUUCUUUCAGAUCAUUAAUGAGCAGAAUAAAAAGAGUAAAAU